rnacentral:lncRNA from 1 species
UAUUCGAUUUCGCUGUCUCUCAGCAUGGUACCAUGUGAUAGCCACAAGGAAUGCUGUAGAUGAAGACUUCAAAGAAAUAUGGGAUACCUGUGUGAAGUGAUGCUGAGGGAACAAAGAAGGAUCAAAAGAAGCCUAGAAGAAGGGAAGAACAUGACAACACUCACUAUGAUAAGCACUGACAUCAGUGUAAAAGCCAAGGGAUUAUGAAGACCAGAGAUGGGGAGAGGACGCAAAGGGGGCCAGUUUGGCUUCCUGCUGCUGCCAGUGCCCCAAAUACGCCCCCCUGCCUGGGACACUGCUGCCACAAGCAACACCCCAGGCUGCUACCAUGGAAACAAAGGAAGAAACACAAAGAAGGCUGGAAGCAGGCAACAGUGUCUGAAGAUGCUUAGUAGAGCAGAAGCUGAAUGCCAACAUUGAAACCUGGAAAGACUUAUAUGAACGGAUGCAAAGGGAAGUCAGCAGAACCAGGAGAACAUUGCACAUGGGCCGGGAUGCCUUUUAGUGGUACCAUUGUUGCUCCCUGGGAAAGGAAUGCAUCCCUUCCAAUUGCAACUCUUCCCAUAGCCUCCUUUCACCGGAUAUGUGAUCUCCGUUGGAUGCUGCUUUCAGGUAGUCUCUUCCAGAUGUUACUCCAUCACACCCUACUCUUCCAGAUGCUACUCAGCUGGACAUGUAGUUUUGAGUUUCUGGCUCAGCUGAAAUCCUUGGCUAUCUCUUCAAGGGAAGCAGUAGUUACUUCCAUAAUGUUUCAAUUUAAAUAAAACCCAGAGAGUUUUCCCAAUUCUUUCAGAAAAGGCAGAAAACCCUUGAUUAUAGGCCUGGGGUGAAGGGUGGGGAACUCAUCCAGUCCUGUUCUCUUAGGGGCUUGGAUUCUGGUACUUCUAGUUUUCCAGUCUCCACUAUGCCCAGGAGAUUCUCAGCCCUGGGUGGCCAGCUACCAAAUGCCCUCAGUCUUGAUCUUUCCUUUUGAAUCAUCUUUCUUGUCUGGAGGCUUCUGUCCAGUAGGGACCAUGACCAGCCUAUGGUGUCAAUUCCCAUAUUUAUCCCACCCCUUCCCUAGUCUUCUUCUUCCCCCCAUGCCAGAUGAUGUACAGUUCAAGUACGUGCCAAUUUUCAGUCUCUGAGGUCUAGAUUGUAAACCAGGUAAUGAUUAUUUACCCAGAGUUCCCUCUACUGUAAUCCUGACCCUUUCAUGUCCUUAAGCAGCCAUCC